AGCCUCGGCCUCCCCAAUCGCCUCCAUCUCUAUUCUCAUUCUCAACUAAUUCAGCGCUUCAAUUUUAGGGCAAAUCAUUUCAGCCUCGGCCUCCCCAAUCGCCUCCAUCUCUAUUCUCAUUCUCAACUCUGAACUUGCCCUCUUUUUGUCCCUGCAACUACAAAAUCUACAAGAAUCAAACCCAUAUAAUUCAGUUUAUCUAUCUGUCUGUAAGAAUCAAAAUUUCAAAACCUAUUGCCUAUAUCAAAACCCAUAUCGGCAUAUCAUUUCAGAUUGUUCAAAAAAUCGACACCCAUAUCCUUCAGUUUCCAUUGCCCGUUGUUCUAGUUUGAGUUCGCCGUUCGCAAGCUUCAGCUGCUGGCCCGCUGUCUUUCAACUCUCAAGCCCCUCUCUCUGCACUACUUAAAUCUCUACAAUCAAUAUAUAUAUAUAUAUAUAUAUAUAUAUAUAUAUACAUAUAUAUAUGUAUAUAUAUUUUGACUGCGUACUCAAACCCUAAUCUCUCUCUUGACUACAAACAUUCCUCAUAUUAGGUCCAUAUUCUGUUCCGCCUCAGCUCAUCCUUUGCCCAUAAUCUUUCAUCUUUACACCCUAGCCAUAGCAUACAAUUUUAGCCGCCAUCGAAUCCGCAACUGAUCGGAACAACGAAUUCAACGGUAAAACCACGAUUUUCAGCGACGUACCUCUCCAUUUAGCGCAUCAGAAGGUUCCAUUCUACCCAUGGGUUCGGAUUUGGUCAGUGGUUGAUUCGUUCUUCGAUUUGGGGAUUUUGUAGUUUUAGUUAUGUUGCAUUUCGCAGAGGGUUUUUGCCUCUGAUUCGCACUUCUCUUGGUGGUUGCUUUUGUUCGAUCUUGGAGAUUUCGGACAAAUCUCGUUGUAUGGUAAGCCCAAAUUCGAAUAGAUAAAGGAGCAAUUACAAGUUAUCUUGGAGCUUAAGCUUCGCCGGCCCAAAUUCGAAGAGACAAAGGAGCAAGUAAGAGUUACCAGUUGUGAGGGAAAGGAAGAGGACAUUGUUGUUGCUCGUGGUCUCUAGGAAGAAGAGAAAAACAGAGGGGAAAGGAAGGAAGAAAAAAGGGUAUAGACUAUAGGCAUUUCAUAUCAUCAUCUUCAACUUGUCAUCUAAUUGUGUGUAUCCUCUCACCAAGAAACAAAAAUGUCAUUUAUCAAAGGUCAAAGCUAGGAUUACGGGAUUGCGGUUCCCGUUACUUUUUUUGUUGCUGUUAUAUUUUUGUAUGGCUCAUGAUCAAGAAGUUGCAUAUAUGGAAGAGAGAGACUAAAACAAAGCAAGAAGAUAUGAAGAAUUUUUGUUUCAUUUUGGUUAAGUAAAGAUAUAAGAUGUGGAUAAUGUACUUCUUUGAAAUUUGUAUAUAUUUUUGUAUAAAACCAUGAUUUGGAAUUGGUUAUAUAUAUAUAUAUGAUGUUAUUGGCCAA